UUCGGAGAGAAAAAAAAAUGGUGGGGGAGCUGCAAUGAUGGGGUGCUGCUGCUCUGCUUUAUCCUUGAAAGGACGGCUGUUGCUUCCUCCAAGAUUCAAGGUCACUUUUAUUAUUAGCAGAGAGGGGUAAAGGGAUAAAAGGGGCACUGAACUUCCGACCUCCCCUCUUUUUUUUUUUCUUCUUCCUUUUCCCUAUCUUUCACCCGUUUUGCCCCGACGGGGAGUGGGGAGAGUCCACUAGACGAGAGAGGUGGGGAUGGUUGGGAAAACGAUUCCUGGAAAGCAAAAACAAAUGGGCUGUUUUGGAGGUGUCACCUUUUAAGUUUUAUUGUAGAAGUUAUCAGAAUUAUGUUGCAUUGAUUGCCUGAAUUCCCGGACCAAAUAAUUAAAAGUCUGAUGUCUAAAAGGUUCCUGGAUGCGUUCACAAAGAUGUUCAGCCCAGCCAACUAUCUUCUCUCCCGCAAGACUCAAUGGUAUUGUGGAAGAAAUAGCUCCUUCAGUAAACAAAUGCUUCAUUUCUUUGGCUAUGGUAUUGUGGAAGAAAUAGCUCCUUCAGUAAACAAAUGCUUCAUUUCUUUGGCUAUGGUAUUGUGGAAGAAAUAGCUCCUUCAGCAAACAAAUGCCUCAUUUCUUUGGUUAUGGAAUCGGGGAAGAAAUAGCUUCUUCAGUAAAC